AUUGAACGCUGGCGGCAGGCCUAACACAUGCAAGUCGAACGAGUGGCGGACGGGUGAGUAAUGUCUGGGAAACUGCCUGAUGGAGGGGGAUAACUACUGGAAACGGUAGCUAAUACCGCAUACCAUCAGAUGUGCCCAGAUGGGCUUGGCUUGUUGGUGGGGUAACGGCUCACCAAGGCGACGAUCCCUAGCUGGUCUGAGAGGAUGACCAGCCACAUUGGAACUGAGACACGGUCCAGACUCCUACGGGAGGCAGCAGUGGGGAAUAGUGCACAAUGGGCGCAAGCCUGAUGCAUCCAUGCCGCGUGUAUGAAGAAGGCCUGCGGGUUGUAAAGUACUUCCAGCGGGGAGGCGGUACCCGUAGAAGAAGGAUCGUCUAACUCCGUGACAGCAGCCGCGGUAAUAC
rnacentral:rRNA from 1 species